AGCAAAGAAAGAAUAAUAAGAAGGUGCGAGUGACAGUGAAGCCCCAUUUGCUGUACAGACCUUUAGAACAGCAGCAUGGAGUCAUUCCUGAUCGGGAUGCAGAAUUUCGUCUAUUUGAUCGUGUUGUAAACGUGAGAGAGAACUUUUCAGUUCCAGUUGGCCUUCGGGGCACCAUCAUAGGAAUUAAAGGGGGUAAUAUCUCAGUACUUGACAUGUCUUCAACUACAUCAAUACUGUAAAGUAGAACACAGAUUUCUGUGUCAUAUCUAAGUAGAGAAUAAGUAUAAGUCAGAAAAAAAAAACAAUCCUUUUAUGUUUUACUUAUUUUUUUUUUUCAGUUUCUAGAGAAAAUUCUCCUUUUCUGUCUUGUAUAAUCAUCUAGAACAUGAUUUUAAAAAGAGGAAGUUGAAUCAGGGCUGCUAAGGAUUUAGUAGUUUAUAUAUAACAUGUUAAUAUCAUACAGGACCUUGGCAGGUGUACAGACAUUUUAAUGAAACUGAGGGAAAAGUUUCAUCACUUCUUAGUUAGGCUUUCAUCUAACCUUGCUCAGAGCUUUACCCUAAUUGUCAAUGUAAUCUCUUGCUUUCUGUGGAAAAAUAAACAAACAUAAAGUAUGAGCUUAUUUACAGUUAACAGAUUUGAAUUAAAUGUGCAUAUAAAUUUGAAUUUUAUGAAUACAGCUAGAUUAUGUAUAUAAAACAGACCUAUUCAUCUGUUGCACAACAAUAUGCAUAUAGUUAAGAGUACUGUACUAUACACUUAAAAAUGAUUACGAUGGUAAAUUUUAAGUCAUCUUCAAAAAAAAAAAAAAUGAGAGCAUGGAGAGAAAAACAGCUAAGGAUCUAAAUAUGCCUCAGAG